AACGAACGCUGGCGGCAUGCCUAAUACAUGCAAGUCGAACGCGAACUUCGGGUCUAGCGGCGCACGGGUACGUAACGACUGGUAACUUGCGCUUAGGUUAGGUAUCACUCACCGAAAGGGGUGCUAAUAACGGAUAAUGUAAUAGGACCUAAGAUUUAUCGUCUUUGGAUGGGUCCGCGUUGGAUUAGAUAGCUGGUAUGGUAAAAGCCUACCCAGGCGACGAUCCAUAGCUGGUCUGAGCGGAUGACCAGCCACACUGGGACUGAGACACGGCCCAGACUCCUGCGGGAGGCAGCAAGGGGGAAUAUUGGACAAUGGGCGAGAGCCUGAUCCAGCAAGGCCGCGUGAGUGAGUAAGACCUUAGGGUUGUAAAGCUCUGUUACCCGGUAUGAUAGUGACAGUACCGUGAGAAUAAGCUCCGGCUAACUCCGUG
rnacentral:rRNA from 1 species